GAGCUGCAGGAGCCAUUUACAGGCUGGCAGCAGCAGCCGCGGAGGGGAAUGUCACAGCUACCUCUAAUCUGCUUCUUACUCUCUCCCACUUUGUCCUUCCUUCCUUGGCCUUCUAUGGGGAACAGAAGAGGAGGCAGGAGAGGUGAACUGUGAUUUUCAGAGGAGUUGGGGUAUUGGGGAGCUAUCUGGAGAGGCAUUUGAAGGAUUAAUUUGGACUUGAAGAGAUGAGAUGGGCAGAGCCUUUGAACAGGAAGGGCUAAAACCUCACAAAACCCUGAAGGACCAGACUGCUUUGAGGAAAUAAUGUUGACUUUACAGAGCCUAUAAAAAGCUUCUUGGAAAGACUGGCCUAGUACCUUGUCUAUAUGUUUCCCUUACAAGGUUCCUGACCUGUGGUAAGUAAAGAAUGUCAUUUUUUUAAAGGUCCAGGAACUUCAAGAUAUUUGGGGAACUCAGGAAGAGGGGAACUCACCCAGUUCAUGCAGGUAUUGCAAGCACAGUCUGAUGGUGAAUCUUUAGCUGGGCUUUCUAGUCUCAAGGAUUCCUUGUUAAAGUUCCAGCAAAGUCAACUUAAAGGAAGCCUGUUGGCUAAUCACCAUUCUUGUACACUUUAUGCAAAUAAGCAGGCCAAGUAAAGUGAGACUAAAAUUUUUUUCCCAAAUUAAUUACUCCUACAAUUUAUCCUUGGGAGAAAUGGGAAAACUAAAGAUAUAUAUAUAU